rnacentral:rRNA from 1 species
GCCUGAUCUCCUUCGGGAGGUCAGGUCGAGCCCGGGCUCCGUGAGGGGGGAGAAGUCGUAACAAGGUAGCCGUAGGGGAACCUACGGCUCGAUCACCUCCUAUCGCCGGA